ACAUGAGUAGAGUAGCGGCCAUCCAUUUACAUCAUACUACAAGCAAGUCUGACAAAUUUCUCCGUGUUAAUCAUAUAACGGUGGGAGGAAUGAGCCAAAGAUGAAGUUUCCUUAAAUAGGAGUUUCUUUCUAUAGGGUCUGACAUAUGUUGGGGCUUCUGCAAGACUUCUAUAUUGUUGUAUGUGCCGUUGUGUGAUUAGUUAAAUUUUGUUCAAGAAUACGAUCAGUUGGUGUCUCAAUGUGCACCAGAUGACAUCCUAAAAAUGAGAAGCUUAUUUGACCGGGCUCUUACUGUUGCUGGAGUGCAUGUGGUUGAAGUCGGCAAGAUAUGGGAAGCAUACAGAGAGUAUGAACAAGCGAUCUUUUUGACAAUUGGUGAUGACAAUAAUGAGGAAAAAUCAAAACAAAUUGAUCGGAUACGUACUUUAUUCCAUCAACAACUAUCUAUUCCCUUAGUGAAUUUAGAAUCAAAUUAGUUAAUUACAGGCUUUGGGAGGUGGAACAAGGGAACACUGGCGAUAUGAACUCAGGAAUUGGAUGGGGUCCCUGCUAAUGUUGUCUUUGCAUAUAAAAAUGCUUUGGAAAUGUAUAAUGCUCGAAGCAUGUAUGAGGAUCAACGGUCUAAGAGUAUAGCUCACAUGGCUUAAUUUUGUAUUCUCACAUACAUGUAUAUUGUAAUCUUUUGUAAAAGUGAGGGACGCCUCACUUCAGAAAAGGCUCGCUCUCAAUAUGAGAGGUGUAACCAUGUAACUCUUUGCUUUUAAAUGAAAUCUUAGC